rnacentral:rRNA from 1 species
AUUUUUAUGGAGAGUUUGAUCCUGGCUCAGGAUGAACGCUGGCGGCGUGCCUAAUACAUGCAAGUCGAGCGAAUGGACGAGGAGCUUGCUCCUCUG